rnacentral:rRNA from 1 species
GAUGAACGCUGGCGGCGUGCCUAAUACAUGCAAGUCGAGCGAACAGACGAGGAGCUUGCUCCUUUGACGUUAGCGGCGGACGGGUGAGUAACACGUAGGUAACCUACCUAUAAGACUGGGAUAACUUCGGGAAACCGGAGCUAAUACCGGAUAAUAUUUCGAACCGCAUGGUUCGAUAGUGAAAGAUGGCUUUGCUAUCACUUAUAGCUGGACCUGCGCCGUAUUAGCUAGUUGGUAAGGUAACGGCUUACCAAGGCAACGAUACGUAGCCGACCUGAGAGGGUGAUCGGCCACACUGGAACUGAGACACGGUCCAGACUCCUACGGGAGGCAGCAGUAGGGAAUCUUCCGCAAUGGGCGAAAGCCUGACGGAGCAACGCCGCGUGAGUGAUGAAGGUCUUCGGAUCGUAAAACUCUGUUAUUAGGGAAGAACAAACGUGUAAGUAACUGUGCACGUCUUGACGGUACCUAAUCAGAAAGCCACGGCUAACUACGUG